rnacentral:misc_RNA from 1 species
AUUUUCUCCUUCUCUACGUAACAAGAUCACACUAGCAACUAUGAAAUGUAUCCCCACAGGGCUUAAGAGUCAUUUUAAACAAUAAUUUUCAUUUAUCUAUACAAUGAUACAAUAAAAUAAGGAUGACUCAGUGUGCAAAGCAUCCCACACUUGUGGGCUUUGGGGAGGGUUUAUGUAUUCAACGUUACCCCCAAUUUGUAUAGAAGUUGUUUCAGUCGCUCGAAUCCAUGACCUCCAAGUCACAUGUGGAGUAGCUGAGUAGCUUUACCAUUACACCAAAGCCACCCUCACAAUGAGACAAUAAAAGGAACGAAAAUUAAGAAGGACAUAUCAGCUCUACUGACCUGAGAAAGU